CUUUGAAGUAAAAAAAAAAAAAGUUCAAAGCAUGAAAGUAGAGCUAGAACCUGUGCAGCCUCACUAUCUCACAUUGUUUGAUGCUGAAGGUGACUUAUAUAUUCCUGUCAGUCAAGCAUGUGAACUGAAAUAUAUGUGCACUGUAUUAGAAGGGGGGGGGAAACAAUAUUGCGUGUCAUCUUUGGUAACUAAAAUAAUAGGCAGAUUGCUUACAGGUAGCCUGACUCUUAGCCAUCAAGCAGCAUAUUAUUUUUCUCUUCUCUAGAGGAAACAGUCAUGGUUCAACUUCUUGAAGCUGCCUUAUACAAUUAGGCCUCCAAAGUCGCUGCCUUGGGACAAGGAUGGAGGAACUGCAGACGCAUCUGGAGGGCCACAGGUUGCCCAUCUCUGUCUCAGGACAAGGGAUUUCAGGGAGGAAAGGGAGAAUUCUAGCUAUCAGUGACCCACAGGGUAAAGUUUGAACCCACAUCAUAAGGUAAUAUUGCUAAUGCAAAUCAGAUGCAAAUCAGAUGCUCUAUCACUGAGUUACAGCUUCUCUGGAAAUUCCUACAGAUAUGCCUGAGCAGGACCCUCCCACAAAUCAUCUCAAAUGUGGAUUUAGCCAAAAUUCAGUGGCAACUCUGGUUUUUUCUUCCAUGGGGAACAUAGAAGAUAGUCACAUGAACACUUUAUCAUAGCCUAUGGGUGGGACCACAGCUCAGUGGUGGAACACUCACUUUGCAUGCAGAAGGUCCCACGUUCAAUCCUUGGAAUCGCUUGUUAAAGGGAUCUCAUAGGAGGUGAGGUGGAAGAUCUGUCCCUGAUACCGUGGAGAGCCAUUGGCAGAGUAGACAAUAAUAGAUUAAAUCAGUCUUCCCCAAUCUGGUGCCCUCCAGAUGUUUUAGAGUACAAUACCUAUCAUCCCUGACCAUUGGUUAUGUUGGCAGGGGCCAAUGGGUGUUGUAGUCCAAAAUUCUGAAAGGCAGCAGGUUGAGAAACACUGAACAAGAUUGACAAAUAGUCUCAGCUGGUGCAUGGCAAUUUCCUAUUUGACAACAUUGUGUUCAUUAUCUCUCCCACACACAGCUUUAAUGCCAUCCAUAGACCCCCCAAAACACAGUAUGGCAGCUCUCUUAUAGACUGGUCUUCAGUUGUGCCUUUUCCACUUCAGAAAUGCUAGCGUGAUGAACCAACAAUAUUUCUAUGCUCCGCCACCUCAUUUUCAUCCAGUUGCCUCUGCCCAACCACCUAGAAGGGACACUCACCUCUCUGUUUGAAGGAAUGGGGAAACUUAGCUCGAACUGGGAAGCAUGAGGCUUGAAAAAGCUGUUUGACCUUAUUUGUUCAGAGAGUCUAGAUAACUUCAUUUGUUCCGUGUUGGGUCUUGCAGUACCACUGCUGGCUGUAAUCAGAACCUUCUCUCUCUCUCUCUCUCUCUCUCUCUCUCUCUCUCUCUCUCCCUCUCUCUCUCUUUCUCAUUUUCCACCUUUCAGGGUUGUUGUGAGGAUGAAAUUAGACGAUCCCCUGUAUGAUGGCAAAAGCUCAUUGAAGGAAAUGUAGGAUGAAGAUAUGAUAAAUAGUAAUGCGCAAAUGGUUGGAGAGUGUUCUCGAAGCUACCAACAUGAGUUUGACCAAAAUGCGGGAGGAGUGGAAGACAGGAGUGCCUGGCGUGCUCUGGUCCAUGGGGUCACGAAGAGUCAGACACGACUAAAUGACUAAACCACAACAACAACAACAAUGCACAAAUUAUUUGG